UUUUGAGAUUUAAGAGAGAAUAUUUCAAGAUAUCUGUCAACCCCAGUCUGAUUCUUCUGAUCAUGGUUUGUAGCGGCCAUCCUCUUGAAUCCAUCUUCCAUCAACACAAAUAUUUGGGAUGUGAGAAAUCUUGGGCCAAUCAGCACUAAUGUUGUUUUUGCAUCUUUCUGACAGUUGAGGGCAUGCUUCAAUACAGAAAGAUUGUAAUGCAGUGAGGCUUUCCAUCCACUCCGGUAAAGAUUCCAAAUGAUGACAACUUUCAAUUGAGAGUUUGUGCAAAGUGGGAACAUGUUGAAGUCCCUUCGGGAGGGAUGCUAAUUUGUUCAUAUUUAUUAAUUGAAGCUCGCGGAGGCUUCUAAGGUACUGCCACUGCAUAUCAUCAGAUAAAUCGAGCUNNNNNNNNNNNUCGAUGGCAAGAAGGUCGAGGGAGGGUAGAUGCCACAACUCCUCUGGCAGAAAUUCUAGAUCCUCAAUGUUCUCUAUUGUCAGAAUUUGCAAUUUAGAAAGGGAAAUCGAAGAAGAGGUUGACUGUGACACUGCAAUCUUCACCUUAAGUAUAUCCUCCAAUGACUUCUUGCUGGCAUUUUUCAAUACCAAUUUUCGGAUAGAUGGAAUAAGAGGCAUUGAAGUGAGGUUAGGGCAAGANGACCAAAUAAUCAAGACAGUGAAAUUGUAGCAACUGAGGCAUGGAUGUAUCCCUCCUCCAUCC
rnacentral:misc_RNA from 1 species